rnacentral:rRNA from 1 species
AUACAGAGGGUGCAAACGUUGUUCGGAAUCACUGGGCUUAAAGCGCGCGUAGGCGGCGACAUCAGUGUCUUGUGAAAGCCCCCGGCUCAACCGGGGAACUGCAGGGCAUACUGUGUUGCUAGAGUACGAGAGGGGAGAGGAGAACUCCUGGUGGAGCGGUGGAAUGCGUAGAUAUCAGGAGGAAUGCCGAAGGUGAAGACACCUCUCUGGCUCGUAACUGACGCUAAGGCGCGAAAGCUAGGGUAGCGAACGGGAUUAGAUACCCGCGUAGUCC